CAGUCGCCGCGGGAAUACGGAGGGUGCAAGCGUUAAUCGGAAUUACUGGGCGUAAAGCGCACGCAGGCGGUCUGACAAGUCAGAUGUGAAAUCCCCGGGCUUAACCUGGGAACUGCAUUUGAAACUGUCAGGCUGGAGUCUUGUAGAGGGGGGUGGAAUUCCAGGUGUAGCGGUGAAAUGCGUAUAGAUCUGGAGGAAUACCGGUGGCGAAGGCGGCCCCCUGGACAAAGACUGACGCUCAGGUGCGAAAGCGUGGGGAGCAAACAGGAUUAGAUACCCGAGUAGUCCCUGUCUCUUAUAC
rnacentral:rRNA from 1 species